UAGCAGAGUAUUUCAAAGCCUUUCGAACACUGACGGUAUUUUGUCAUAGAACUAAAAAAAAGAAUGAAGGUUUCUAUUUGUUAUUUCGUCUGUCUAUUGUUAGUGUCCGUAGGAGUCAACAUGGCGGAUGAAAAAAUGCUUGAAGACAAUAGCCUCAUUCAUAAGCUUGUAAAAAGAUACGGGUGUCAUAAAAUACAAUGCUCUCCUGGCUCUCCGUGCUGUAGCUGUCCUCAUGGUCUUUGCUGCGUUAACACAACCUGCAUAAGGGGCUAGUGAGGUCAGCUAUCCCAUUUUUGACCAAUCAUAGCAAUCCAACAGAACCGAAGAAUUAUCAUCCUUUAAAAAUAGGAUUUGAAAAAAUGAAUAUUCGAAAAAAUUAAAUUAAAAUCUAUAUAUUCAUUUUAA